rnacentral:rRNA from 1 species
UACCAGCACCCCGAGUGGUCGGGACGUUUAUUGGGCCUAAAGCAUCCGUAGCCGGUUCUGUCAAGUCCCCGUUAAAUCCAGCUGCUCAACACGGAUGGGCCGCGGGAGGAUACUACAGAGCUAAGGAGGCAGGAGAGGCGAAGCGGGUACUCAGUGGGUAGGGGUAAAAUCCGUUGAUCCAUUGAAGACCACCAGUGGCGAAGGCGG